ACCACUGCCCGCGGGGCCCGCGUCCCAACGCGCCCACAUCAUGCCCCCAGCGGGUGACGGCGCGCCGCCGCGCGUUCGCCUAGGCCGCCGGUCACAGCCUGACCACGCUCGCGUAGGCCCACGCGCGCACAGCGCGAGUGCAGCAACCGCCGCACGCCUAGCUGCCCCGCGCGGCACUCGCCCACGACGUUGAGAAAACCGACGUCCGCGCCCACGCUCUCCUAUCCGAGCGUCUACACAUCCUCUCCUCUUCCUCCUUCAUUUCCCCAAUCGCCAGCACUCGAUGCCUCCAUAAUCGUCGCCCAGUCCUCACAUCGCCAUCCUUGACACGCGUUCGGAGAUCGACGUCGAAACCGCCGCACCGGAGUCCAUCCUCGCCGUGUUCGCCUGCACCAGAGCCGCUCGCCACCUACCUCUUCCAUGCCCUAUUGAGCCGCGCGCCCGUGCCAUCUCCGUUGAGAUCCAAGGUGAGCAUCCUCCUCGUCGCCUCCUCCCCUCUCCUCUCCCUCGUUUAUUCCCCCUCCCCCCCGCGUCCUCCCGUGGCGGCCCGCGGCCAGCGCACGACCCGCCUGUGGCGCCGUCCCUCGCCCAGCCCGUGAGGCGAGCCUCGCCCCUGGCCCUGCGCGCCGCGGCUAGGUGCCAGCAGCCACUGCCAGGGUGCGGCCUCGUCCUCCCCGCGUGCUCACUGUGAGCCAGCCAGAUCGGUCGAAGCCCCUCUAACCCUGGUCGAGAAUCACCUCUCUUCAAUACCCUUGCUCUUUCCAUGGAAGAAGAAACCGUCCAAGACUUGCUCUCGUCGUGUGCGCGUAAAGGUGAAACUGCCGUGAUACAUCCAAGGAGAAGAAAUCGCUUCCUCCUCCAUACCGGAUCCCACUUUUCAGGAUCUUGUCAUCUUGUGUCAGUUGUGUGGCUACAAACUCCCCAUGGCCGUUCGUAAGUCAUGGCUCCAGCCAAUUGUGUCACGCUGCACCGCAUGAAAUCCAAAAUUAUUAUUAAUACAUGUUAGCUUUCGCGUUCUAAAUUCGUUUAGCGUUCUAAAUCCGAAAUUAUUAAUACACGUUAUUUUGUCGUAGCACUUGUUUUAGCUAAUUAAUUAUUUUGUUAAGUAAUUGUUUAUCCUAUUGUUAUUUAAAAUAGCUUUCGUUAAAGCUACCUUAGAGCUUCUAACAUGUGUUUUCAUGAAUAAAUAUUAAAGUGAUUAAUACCAAUUCAGAUGUCUUUAUUCAAUACACGCCUAGUGUAAGUGUGACGUGUGUUUAGCAUUUCUCAUAUGUCAUGUUAUUUAUAAUUCGCGAAUUGUUAUUUAUUCAAUAUAUUAUACAUCGUAAACCCGUUUUGACUCAUUUCAAUCACAUCAACUUCGUAUUAACAUUAAUUUCGUGCUAGUAAUAUUAUUUUGUCGUGACGCGUGUUAUAAUUAAUUAGUUAGUUUGUCGUGGCACGUGUUUUAUAUUAGUGAUUCUCGCAUGUCGCGCGUGUAAAUCGCGCGCGUCGCCGCACGUCGUCCGCAUGCCAUGGUCGCGUGCUGAUUCGUGCAUCUUUCGUGAUUGUGGCACGCAUUGUUUCGCGUGCUGUUGUGCGUGUUGUUUCGCGCACGCGCAGCGCGUCGUCAGGGUCCCGACGACAUCCGUCUACCCCCUAGACGACGUUCGUCUAUCCCUAGACGACUCUCGUCUACCCCCGUUUACCUCGUCUAUCCCCCUACGCUAAUUAGUUUCCUAUUUAAUUCAGCAAUCUGAAUACCCAAUUGGAUUAAAAUUAUGAUUUUAGUUAGGCGAUUGUAAAUAUGUGAUAAUGUGAUUUUAACAACUUAGAUGUAGUAUUUAAUGCCUAUUUAGUGUUUAGUAUAAACACGAUGUCUGUUAGCGACUCUCGUGAGUCGUGCGCGUCAUCGCACUGUCUACGCGUUGUUCGCACGUGUGGCGGUCGUCGUCGUCGUGUUGUUCAUGCGUAUAGUUCGUGCCUUAUUCUCGUGUUGUCGCGCGGCGUCUGCGCGUGGUAAUAAAUUGUUUUCGCUUAUAAGCACUCAUGUUAGUAACGCUAAUUCGUCAGGUCAUAUAUGUUAGAUAAUUAACUUAAGGUUUGCUCGACUAAUAUUCAUUAGACUAAUAUUCAAUUAGAUUAAAUAUGUAGUGUUCAACCGCGUUUUUAUAAUAAACAUUAACAUGACCGUUAUUAACUUAACUGCUUUGUAAUUAUUUGAUAUCUGUUUAGUAUAAACACAUCUCCAAUUAAGUUCUCGUCCGUCGUGUGUGCUGUUCCGCGCGCGGUGGCGUGCUACUUCGCGCGUUGUUCACGUGCUAUCUGCGCGUUGUUCGUGCGUGAUGUGCUCGUGGUCGCGUGCUGAUUCGUGCGCGUUCGCGCUUGUCAUGCGCGUUGUUUCGUGUGUCGUCAACAUGCUAUGUCGCGCGUGUGCGCGCGUCGUUUGCACGCUGUCGUGCUGUUUCACGCGUCAUAAAUUCAUCUCGCUUAGAAUCUCUUGUUUUAAUUAAAUUAUUUAAUUAACUGACAUUUAUUUAAUUAACUGCGUAUGUAUAUGUUUGUUUGCUUGUGCCGGUUCGCCUUCGCUUCGCGUUGUGAUUAGAUCGCGAUUCGUUUCCGAGCUUUGAGGAAUCGACGAUCAAGCGUUGGCGACCAAGUGAUCAAGUUCUUCGAGUUCUACGAGAUUAAAUACCCUGAGCAUCUGUUUUGGUGAAGGCAAAUGUCCUCUGACCCAUUAUGUCCUAUCUACUUAUAAUUCAUUUUCCCGCGUUACUUAAUGGAAACCUAAGGAUUGACUAACUUUGUGUUUACCUUGUCCUUAUUACCUUUUGGGUUAUUAUGGUUAGCUUCAUGCUAUUGCUUUACUUUAAUCAAUGAACAUGAUGUAAAUACUUAUGAUACGAUGAUGUUAUCCCGAUGAUGAUAUUGUGAUAUUUUAGGGGACUCAGGCCAUUUUCCUGAGUACCUCUCCGUAAGGACCUGUUCGUGGAGUGACCACCCAGGAUAACAGUGUAGCCAUGAGGGUGGAAUGAGACGCCCUUAGCUAAUUAAUUACAUGAACCUAGGCGUAUAGUUGGCUUUGCCG
rnacentral:lncRNA from 1 species